CCGCUCUCUCCGACGGGUGCGUGGAGAUAAAGGCAGACACCGCUAAGGGUAGCGUAGGAAGGGUUUGUCUCACGGAGCGGUCAAGGGGUGCCGUCGCCUAAGGGGAAGCAGAAGUAGAAGAGGUUAGAAGUAGUUUAGGGUGAUGUGUUGUUAAUGAAACAACUAAGUCAACGAGAAUGCUAGACCAUAAAUAGAGGCCCGGCGAACGCUAAACCGUUCCAUUCGCUACCGCUCCUGCACGGGGGAACGUUGCUCUAGGUGUCCGUCAGCAGCGUCGGGACGGAGGCCGAAGGGGUUGCAUCCCCGGGGGUGGGACCUUCUUCACGCGGAGAGCCGCCUACGGUGACACGGCUGUAGCUAAGGCCGGUGAUAGCCGCUAAUGGAACGGCGGGACACAGCCCACGGAGCUGUCUUCCGGCCCUCCGAGGGCCACCUCGCCGGUUGGGUAGAGCCACGGCGAGUUGAAGGGGUGGAGCGUAAGCGACCCGAGAGCGAACCUACCUGCGAGAAGGGCCGAUGAGUCGGUACCUCACCUGUAGCGCGGGCCCUCCAGAGGUCGGCCACCUGGAAAAAUAAAAGCCGGAACUUCCCGACACGACCACCACUGUAGCCCAUCCCGGAGGUAACUAUAACUAUCGGUACUGAACGUCCUCACGAUCUAGCUGCAGGAGGGCGUCCACGGCGGAGCCGACUAAGUCUCUGCUGUAACUGACGCCGUUACCACCGGGAAGUAUCGUUCACUGUAAGAUGACGUCGUCACCACGGAAAAACGAAACCCCGUAGACGCGACCUUCAGACCGAGGAAAGAUAGUCGCUACCUAAACGUUCCAUAAGUCAUUAACUACCAACCUCGAGGGAUAGGAUUAUUAUAGGCUCUACCACGAGGGGUAGUAGAGUCCACCACGCGUGACCUGCUGCUGGUUCAUCAGUAGAAGCAGCCAGGCAAGUGACGUAUAUGUAUGAGACGUCUAAAAACAGAGGGAUGACCAUGUAUAAGAAGGGUUCAAGAGGAGGUCCAAAUACUUUACCGAUAAAAAUAUGACUAUCAUUGAGCUCAUAUCGUGGAUAACAUCAUGAUGACACAAUAUUGUCUAUAUUCAUUCUAAACAAACUAAAGUCCGCUGCUAAGGGGACAGGGGUUGUGAGUGACUAUCAUAAAACAAACAAGGUAUACCGUCAUAACUCUGAUUUAACCUCUCUCUUGUUUGAACUAUGUGAACCAUUACAACCAGUAGGCUUUCGAAGUCUUUAUGAGGGAGGCAAGGUGUUAUAUAUACAUUAUAGCCUGCCUCCCUCAUAGUAAAUCACUGCCCGUUUUACAUAACUAC
rnacentral:rRNA from 1 species